CCUACGGGCGGCAGCAGUGGGGAAUAUUGGACAAUGGGCGAAAGCCUGAUCCAGCCAUGCCGCGUGUGUGAAGAAGGCCUUCGGGUUGUAAAGCACUUUCAGUGGGGAAGAAAGCCUUGGGGCUAAUACCCUCGAGGAAGGACAUCACCCACAGAAGAAGCACCGGCUAACUCCGUGCCAGCAGCCGCGGUAAUACGGAGGGUGCGAGCGUUAAUCGGAAUUACUGGGCAUAAAGCGCGCGUAGGCGGUCUGAUAAGCCGGUUGUGAAAGCCCCGGGCUCAACCUGGGAACGGCAUCCGGAACUGUCAGGCUAGAGUGCAGGAGAGGAAGGUAGAAUUCCCGGUGUAGCGGUGAAAUGCGUAGAGAUCGGGAGGAAUACCAGUGGCGAAGGCGGCCUUCUGGACUGACACUGACGCUGAGGUGCGAAAGCGUGGGUAGCAAACAGGAUUAGAUACCCUGGUAGUC
rnacentral:rRNA from 1 species